CACGGAGCUGUGGCCAAGAAGUGCUGGGGUUCCAGGGACUGGGAAGGGGGAAUUCGGAGCAGGUGGUUUGGCUGGAUGCUGCCACUGGCUUCUGCUGAGGAUACCUGGACUCCUAAGCUGUGCUGUCCCAUGCAUUCAGUCUCCUUCUUGUGCCAUACACAGGCAGGCUGAAUGCCAUCCCUGAGUGGAAAGCUUGGAGGAAAUUUCCUGGGAACAGGUAAAGAGGAGAGGUCUUUCAGGGCUUCCCAGGUCAGAUUGACGCUGGAUUGCUGCCCAUCCCUCCAUACCAUAGCUGGGGGAGAUUUCAGGUCACUGAUUGUCUAGAACACCUACAUCACACCUGGCUCUUAUCAUGGUGCCCUGCCCAGGGACAAACUGUUCCAGCAGAGGGAGAUCAUAAGGGACAAUGCUUUGUUUUUUUUCAGCUGGAAAUUGUUGCUUGGGUUCCUUGCCCUCUCCUCCCCGUCCCACAUCCAUCUUCAAAUGACCACAUCUCAACUUUCCUUUUCUCACCCAUCUCCUCACCCCAUGUUUCUACCCAAGACAAAUGACCAUAAGUCACUUGACUAUCCUGCAAGGAACAGAAAAAUCCUACAAGGAGCUGGAUCCCAUUCUUCGUCCUCCUGUAGAGCUGACUUGGACUGGAGAAUGAACAAGCAAAGCCCUGAGGCUGUGUUCAGAGCUAGUUCCAGGGUCAGUGAAGUGCUACAGCUCUUACCCAGGUGGGUUAUAAUAUGAAGGCAAAACCAAUUUGAGCCCAGCCAGGAAAUAGCUGUGCAAGGGAAUCUGAGGUGUCCUACCAUCUUGUCAUAGUGCCUUCUCCUCUCUGCUUUAGGAAGAGCUGUACUUGUUGCUCAAGCGGGAGCUGCUCUGGUCCAGUCCAAGCUCCUGCCCAUUGGCUUUCCACUUUCCCACAGAGCCCUUCUCAUCUGUUGGCGUGAUGCUCAGAGCCGGUCUCUGGCACCAGCAGCAUAGGCAGGACUGCAAGGAGACAAAGAGGGUCGAGACACAAAUGUUAAGUAUGUGGGAUAUGAGGGAAAUGUUGGCAGGUCAACCUGAGCGGUGCUGGGUUGUGCACUGAGCAAAGCUUUCCUACAGAUUUGAUGGGUAUAGGUUUGUCAAGAUAGGGCUGGUGUGGCUUGGAAAUGAAGGUAGCAAAGCCUCAGGUAUUUUUUGCAGCUGUGUUUUCUUGUCCUUGAGGGACAGAAAAUAGUUGGCUCAAUUCCUUGCCAUAGCAUCUGGGAGGUGAUUUUCAUCUCAUCCCCAUCCUUUCUCAGGGCCUCCCUCCUUCUUAGAUUUCUCUCUGAGCAGUUUGGGCUCAAAGUUUAUAGCAGCCCCACUUCCUGAUUUAAAGGCAUGUGGGGUUGCUUCUGAUUCAGAUUGACAGGGACUUCUCUGGGGCUUGUCACAGGCCUUGCACUGGGAACAGUCUCCCCAUAGCAAGGCAGGAAGCUCUAUUGUGCCUGAAGCUGGGAAGAGAGGUGCCUAGCAGGGUGAAAAUUUGGGAAGAGGGUUACAGUGAGCAAAUAUGGGCAUCCUGUGGGCUGUUGGCAGGCCCCACGUGUACCUGAUGCCUGCCUUUCCCCUCAUCCAAAGUCUAUGGCAAUGGGAGUACCAUCCCUACCUGGAAGCAGUUCUUGAAUUUUCGGCUGACAAAGUAGAGAGCCACAGGAUUGAUGCAGGAGUUGAGAGAGGCCAUGUUGAUCCCAAAGUAAUCCAUGACGAGGAGGAAACUGUGGUAAGAGGGGAGAGAAGGGGCUGGUAGCUCGCUGGGUGGACAGCUGGAGGAGUUUCCAAACUUCCAAAUGUUUCUCUGCCCAGGAGACAUCUUUAACUCAUAAAUAGUACAGAGAAAACUGAAUUUUCUCUCUCCACGUGGCCCCCCACCUCCUUGCUCUGUGCCUGCCUACAGAGCAAUGCCAACUAGAAGAGGAGUUGGAAGGUGUUUGGAAAGCAGAUCCCUCAGCUUGCUCUGAGCCCAGUGAGCCUCUAGGUGCUCUUUAGAGCUUAACAGCACAGCGCCCUCCUGCUGGUGCUCUUACCUGAGCAGCUCACAUCUGUUGGGGUCUGUCUGAUCAUAGAUGGUCUUUUUGAGGAUGCGGCUGAGGUGGAGCGGCAGCCAGCAGAGCGCAAAGAUCACCACGAGGCAGAAGACGGUUUUGGCCACCUCCCGACGCUGCAAGGAGAGGGUGGGCAGGGGAGAAGGUAUACUCUGGUUGAGUGCCUGGGGCAAAGCACCCUCUUCUCGUGCUGAUCAAUGGCCCUUCAUGUCCUUUCUAUAACCUGAGGAGGGCUGGGCACCCUUUUGAGUCCAAAGCACAGCCUAUCAGUCCCAGUUCCUACAUCAUGAGGAUGACUUGUGAGAUCCAGGCUGCAGAAAGCAGUAAGGUAGCAGUAAUGCAAUGUGGACCAGGGUAGAGUCUCCUUCUCCCCAUCCUACUAUCAUUUCUAGUCACUUUGCUGAGGUAGCCUCAUCUAUCUGCCCUUCCUGCUAUGUUCUUGGAGCAACCAGCAGGUCACCAAGGUAUGGGAGAGAGCAAAGACAAGUAUAAAUGACCAUAGGAAUUGAAAAGCGAACUGGUCUGUGGUCACAAAGCUGGUAGUUUCGGUUGGCUCUGAGGUGGAAGAUUGUAGAGGUGAGAGCCCUUCUCCCUGUUUAAUUCAUGCAUCUGCAUCCACCUGUCAAGAAGCCAUUGACUUCUGUGAAGCUAUGUCCUUUGUAGGAACUCAUGUAUGUUCUCCCAUUCUACAUCAUUACCUUUUGUUUUGGGAAAUGAGGUUUCUGCCCUCCUGGUUUUCUUACCCGUUUCAUGUGGUCAUUCAGAGCGAUUCUCAUGCCAUUUCUCUUGCUCAGCAUUUCACAUGACAUGAGGGUGUAGAAGAUGCCAGUGCAUACUAAGGGGAGGCAGAAGUAGAAGCCGAAAAGCCACCAGUCCUUCACAUCACGAUAGAACUGUAUGGAAAACAGAGAGGAACUGGAAAUGGGGAAGAAGGAAGGUAGCUGAUGCAUUUGUCCCUGACAACAAUGAAUCAGUUUAUGGAUGAACGCAUAAAAUAUCAUAGAAUUAGGGAGCAGCUGUAGGUUCCGAACGCGAUGUGAUGGGAGCUAUCGGCAUAGGGAGGGGGAGAUGUUGUAUGCGUAGCGAGGGAAACGAGGUGUGUUGUAGGCGUAGCGAGGGAAACGAGGUGUGACGCGUGCAGGUUCCUAUGCCACCUGUGUGUUAUGCCACCUGUGUGUGCCAAGUGUAACUUCGUGAUUGGAGGAAACACUUGUAUUUAAACACGUAGCCUAUAGCAAUAAACGCCAUUUGCCUCACUUACUCCUGGGGUCUGGGUGAGCAUCUGGCCCCGACCUGGUAAAGGGUCGGUUUCGCCCAGCAGUAAGCCCUACAUGUGGACAGAGGACGAACACCGGACGAGCGAACGGAGACUACAUGCAACACUCCUUGGCCUGUUCUGACAGCCUAGCAGCUUCUUGAAGCUUCCCAAGAUUGGUCAUGACUUUCUGAUGUGGGCACUGAGGAUGAAACAUAGCUAAAAGACAUUCUGCCUGUUUCCAGGCCUCACAUUCAAAGCACCACUCCCCCAUGUUGGUACUUCCUGCAUAGUCUGUGCUUUGUCUAAUCUCUCCCCACAUUCUCCCUGUUGGCUGGAAGUCAUGUAUAGAAGCAUCUAAACCUCUAAUCAAGGAGAAAGGAAGCCCCAUUUGCCUGUGUCUUCCUCUUCCUUGCACUGCAGCUGGGAUGGGUCAGAGUACAUACCAUCAUGAAGCUGGAUUUCUGUUCAGAGGCAAGCAUGCACACCCACAGGUCUUGGUCCCAGUAGUUGAUCUCUACCAUGUCAAAGGCUAUGGCUUCAGGGACUGCAAGCACAAUGGCCACUGCCCAGAUCACUGUCACCUCCACCGCCUUCCACAUGGGGAUUCCUAUGCCCUGGAUCCGACUCCAGGAGGCCACUGCUCGAUACCUGCCCAGUGCAUAGGAAUACAACAAGAGUGGAGAGAAGUGAGAAAAGCCACUAUCAGAAAGAAGCUAGGAAGGCAACAGAAGGAUAUACUGUGGUUAAAUGUGGACCAGGCUGGGCAGGUCACCUGUGGAAGUUGUUUCUCACCUGUCGAUGCUGAGGGCACAAAGACUGAGGACCGUGAUGCCCACUGAAGCCUUCUGGAUGAAGGGGACCAGCUUGCACACCUGCACACCGAAUGGCCAGUCCUUUGCCAAGAGCUGGGGAAGAACCUCAGGGUUAACAGACUGCUUUGGGAAGGCAUGCCUGGCUUCCUGUAAUAGCAGGUGGUUACCCACAAGGUGCAAGAAGCCCACAAAGAGCAGCUGAAAGCACUCUGAGGUUACCUCCACUGGGAUGGCAUGGCGUGUGCUCUCCGGUGCUUUGGGUUGUGUUGGGAACCACUCGUUUCCCCAAGGGCUCAUUGUGAGAUGAGUUUACACAUACAUGGAGAGAUGGUUCGGACACAAAGUCCUGAAUCCUAAAUCAGAAUCCUGAAAGCCACAAAGGGCUUUGGGAUGCUUUCAGAGGGGAAGUGGAUAUUGUUCUCUGAAAUAGCCAAAAUCCAGCAAGAACAGCUUCUUUGAGAUAGCUUUCACAGCCAUGAGACUUAUGUGCUCCCUAUACUCAGCCCUUCUACCACAUUUAGGUUCCUUAGUGCAAAUUAUCCUCAAAACUCUUCUCACCUCUGGAAUUAGAUUCGAUCUGGCGACCCCUUUAAAGCCAGUACCUAUUUGUGGCCCUAAGCUCAACUGAGACAAGCAGAGAGUAUCAGUGGGGCAAUAUGAGAUAGGAGAAAGGGAGCUCUGAGAGAUGGCCAAGUGUGUCUUGAAGCCAAGAGCUUGUGUUAGCGUGGGCUGUCCUGUGGAUGAAGCCUUUGGUAUAAGUCUUGAACUCUGUACAGCCCUCACUACCAUCACUGCUGACCUGACCUGGACAUAGAGCUGGGUAUUCAGCCUGUGACAGGCUCAUCUACCAGCUUCCUUCAGUAAGAUUGUUUCUACAGUCUCCAUCUGGUCCCACAUGCCCUUUUUAUGAUAUGUAGGACAUACAGACUUGUGCAACAGGACAGAACCAGGCAAACAUACCAAAGAGGAGGGCUAUCAGACCUAUGUACCCACAACCCAGUUGCAUCUGAGCUCCAAGUCCUUCACCUCUCUGCAGCCCCUCUGGACCCUUCCUAUAAACCUCUUACUCCAGAUCACCAAAACCUGUCCCACAUGGUGGGCAAGGAGGAACUGUGCAUCUCACACAGUAACACUCCUUCUCGUGAUUGGGGUCUCAGGACUCCAUCCAACAUCUGCCAAACACUCUCUACCCUGUUUAUUAUACAGCUCUGUUCAAUGUUCCUGGAUGAGUCUUCAUAUUUAGCUAGAUGUUUUCAAGAGGCUGAUUUGUGAAUACCAAGAGACCGUAAGUCACUGUUUUCCUUGCAAUUUUAAAUAAGAUUUAAAAGAUCUGGAUGUGUGUGUGCGUAAAUAGAACACAUGAGUAGCUGGGAAUACCUCUGCUUUCCC
rnacentral:lncRNA from 1 species